GGGUCAGUAGGCUGGUCGUGCCACCGGUACGUUCUGGUCUCACUGAUUCCUCCUUCCUGAAGAACCGUAAUGCCAUUAAUUUGGUGUUGCGGGGAAACAGGACUGUUACUUUGAAAAAAUUAGAGUGUUUAAAGCAAGCUAACGCUUGAAUACAUUAGCAUGGAAUAAUGAAAUAGGACGAUCGAUCCUAUUUUGUUGAUAUCUAGGAUUGACGUA
rnacentral:rRNA from 1 species